CGCCCCAGGGCCACCUUCCUCAGCGACCUGCAGGCACCGACGGCCCUCACGCAGGAAGUCCCGCCCUGCGGCGGGCAGGAAGUCCCGCCCCGCGGCCUGCCGCUCAGGGCUUCCUCCACCCGAGGGUUCCCCAGCUUUCAAGUCCACUUGCUCCUCGGUCCCUUUGCAGCUCUGUGUCCCGGUCGCGGCCCCAGCCUUUCACCCUUCCGCGCUGCCCUUUAGCCGCGGCUCCGCCUGGUUUGUUCUCUGAGCCCGCGUGGGCGCUGUUCCCUCGGGCUCCUGGCCAGCCGUGACCUCCUUCUGAUGGUUUCCCACCAUUUUUUGGACACAUUUUCCUGGUGCCAGGCAAAUGGAAGAGGCGCUUGCUCAAGAAAUGGGUGUUGGUGACGUAGGCGGCUGCAGGUCAGCCAAGGAGACUUCCACGCGGAUGCCUGGGGGAGCCCAGAGUCACAGAAAGAUGCGGAUGGAAACUGAGGGAAAGAGAGAUAGAGAGUCUUCCAUCCACUGGUUUCUCCCCGAAUGCCUGCAACAGGAGAAGCCAGGAGCCAGGUUCUCAACCCAGGUGGCCCAGAGAAAAGCAGGAUUUAAGUUGGAGACCUCCUGCUGAAGCGGCCAGGCAGGGGUUCCAAGAGAGGAAGACCCCAAAGUAAACAUUUUAUGCUUAUGAGAGUCUUCAAAAAGUUCGUGAAAACGCAUGUUAUAAAAAAACCACACAUGCAUUUCAGAAUCUUUUGCAGCAAAAUAAGUGUACCU